CGCUGCUGUUGCAAACUGCAAAGUUGUCAGGAAGCUAACCUGUUAGCUGUAUACUUAUCAAACUUAAACAGUGGCUUUUUAGGACAUUUGUUUUAAACCAACUUGGUCGGAAAAGCCGACUGAAACUGAAAUAUUUUAGGUACCGAUAGAAAUAGUCAAAAUGUAAAGAUAAAGUAACGUUAUUCUUGUCUUCAUAUCAAAGACUGACAUCUUGGCCUUCGACUUCAGACUCGGAACAAUUUUGAACAUCUGGCUGCUCUCCAGUGUCUGCAGCCUAAUAGCGCUUGGUUUUGGAAACGGAGCCAGACAGCGUUGUGGUAAAAAGAGUGUAGG
rnacentral:lncRNA from 1 species